rnacentral:rRNA from 1 species
AGAGUUUGAUCCUGGCUCAGGAUGAACGCUGGCGGCGUGCUUAACACAUGCAAGUCGAACGGUGAAGCCAAGCUUGCUUGGUGGAUCAGUGGCGAACGGGUGAGUAACACGUGAGCAACCUGCCCUGGACUCUGGGAUAAGCGCUGGAAACGGCGUCUAAUACUGGAUAUGAGCUCUCAUCGCAUGGUGGGGGUUGGAAAGAUUUUUCGGUCUGGGAUGGGCUCGCGGCCUAUCAGCUUGUCGGUGAGGUAAUGGCUCACCAAGGCGUCGACGGGUAGCCGGCCUGAGAGGGUGACCGGCCACACUGGGACUGAGACACGGCCCAGACUCCUACGGGAGGCAGCAGUGGGGAAUAUUGCACAAUGGGCGGAAGCCUGAUGCAGCAACGCCGCGUGAGGGAUGACGGCCUUCGGGUUGUAAACCUCUUUUAGCAGGGAAGAAGCGAGAGUGACGGUACCUGCAGAA